UACGUAGGGCGCAAGCGUUGUCCGGAAUUAUUGGGCGUAAAGAGCUCGUAGGUGGCCUGUCGCGUCGGCUGUGAAAACUCGGGGCUCAACUCCGAGCUUGCAGUCGAUACAGGCAGGCUAGAGUUCGGCAGGGGAGACUGGAAUUCCUGGUGUAGCGGUGAAAUGCGCAGAUAUCAGGAGGAACACCGGUGGCGAAGGCGGGUCUCUGGGCCGAUACUGACACUGAGGAGCGAAAGCGUGGGGAGCGAACAGG
rnacentral:rRNA from 1 species